CAAUAGCGUAUAUUAAAGUUGUUGCAGUUAAAAAGCUCGUAGUUGGAUUUGUGGCGUACGGUGUGUUCCGGGCACUUGUUGUCUGAGUAACCUGCUGUUGCCAUCCUUGGGUGGAACCUGUGUGGCAUUAGGUUGUCGUGCAGGGGAUGCCCAUCAUUUACUGUGAAAAAAUUAGAGUGUUCAAAGCAGGCUUAUGCCGUUGAAUAUAUUAGCAUGGAAUAAUGAGAUAGGACUUUUUUGCUAUUUUGUUGGUUUGCGCAAAGAGGUAAUGAUUAAUAGGGACAGUUGGGGGUAUUCGUAUUCCAUAGUCAGAGGUGAAAUUCUUGGAUUUUUGGAAGACGAACUACUGCGAAAGCAUUUACCGAGGAUGUUUUCAUUAA
rnacentral:rRNA from 1 species